CUCCAUCUGGAAGAAUCUGGAGACAGGUGCUGCAUGGCUGUCGUCAGCUCGUGUCGUGAGAUGUUGGGUUAAGUCCCGCAACGAGCGCAACCCUUGCCUUUAGUUGCCAGCAGUUCGGCUGGGCACUCUAAAGGGACUGCCGGUGUUAAACCGGAGGAAGGUGGGGAUGACGUCAAGUCCUCAUGGCCUUUAUGACCAGGGCUACACACGUACUACAAUGGCCGAUACAAAGGGCAGCGACACUGCGAGGUGAAGCCAAUCCCGUAAAAUCGGUCUCAGUCCGGAUUGGAGUCUGCAACUCGACUCCAUGAAGUUGGAGUCGCUAGUAAUCGUGGAUCAGCAUGCCACGGUGAAUACGUUCCCGGGCCUU
rnacentral:rRNA from 1 species